UACAGAGGGGGCAAGCGUUGUUCGGAAUUACUGGGCGUAAAGGGCGCGUAGGCGGCCCGCUAAGUCGAACGUGAAAUCCCCAGGCUCAACCUGGGAACUGCGUCCGAUACUGGCAGGGCUUGAAUCCGGGAGAGGGAUGUGGAAUUCCAGGUGUAGCGGUGAAAUGCGUAGAUAUCUGGAGGAACACCGGUGGCGAAGGCGGCAUCCUGGACCGGUAUUGACGCUGAGGCGCGAAAGCUAGGGGAGCAAACGGG
rnacentral:rRNA from 1 species